ACCAGGGUUGGAACAGGAUGGGUUUUAAGGUCCAUUCCAACCCAAAGCACUCCCUGAUUCUCUGACAACCAGAUGCAGGACUGAUGGUGGACGUGCACAGGAAAUACUCUGGGUCCCACCAGGCUGAAGACUGGAUGGGAUUUAAGGUCCCUUCCAACACAAAUCAUUCCAUGAUUCUAUAACCAACGCUUGGAGGUGACUGAGGAGAAGAUGAAAUUCCACAGUGAUGCAGAAGCCAUGAGCUCCCCCUGACCACGUGAAGCUAAAGUGUUGGAAAAGCUGCAGGAGGCUCUCCAAAGAUGGUACAUGAGAUGGCCUGGCCUCCACAAUACUUGGAUGCUAUGGAUGAGAACCAAUUAGUUGCCAGGAGUAACCAGCAAGGGCUCGAAACAAGACAAAAUGCGAGAAAAGGCGUAACAAGUUUUCGAUUGAAUAAUUUUUUCCUAGUUACUUAACACUUUCCAUUCAGCCUUUUAUUUCAAUGCCUUGUAAUUAGGCUGAGGAAUAUUUCUUUUCAUUU